rnacentral:rRNA from 1 species
CCGUAGCCCAAGAGAUCGGGAUAACACCUGGAAACAGAUGCUAAUACCGGAUAACAACAGAUGAUGCCUAUCAACUGUUUAAAAGAUGGUUCUGCUAUCACUCUUGGAUGGACCUGCGGUGCAUUAGCUAGUUGGUAGGGUAACGGCCUACCAAGGCGAUGAUGCAUGGCCGAGUUGAGAGACUGAUCGGCCACAUUGGGACUGAGACACGGCCCAAACUCCUACGGGAGGCAGCAGCC